rnacentral:ncRNA from 1 species
UCUGUGGAUCGUUAUAUCAAAUGAGAGUAGUUAGUAGCAAUGAGCAAUCAUCGUUACAACAAAAUCAGACGGGAUGAAACAGAAA